rnacentral:rRNA from 1 species
AUGAACGCUAGCGGCAGGCUUAAUACAUGCAAGUUGAGGGGCAGCAUGAUAUACGCGAGUAUAUUGAUGGCGACCGGCGGACGGGUGAGUAAUAGGUAGGAGACCUACCUCAUACAGGGGGAUAGCAUAGAGAAAUCUGUGGUAAUACCCCAUGAGGUUAUAUGAAUAGAGGCAUAUAAUCAAAGCAUAAGCGAUUAUGCGGUAUGAGAGGGGCCUACUGACCAUUAGCUAGUUGGUGAGGUAAGGGCUCACCAAGGCGAAGAUGGUUAGGGGUUUUGAGAGAGAGACCCCCCACAUUGGAACUGAGAGACGGUCCAGACUCCUACGGGAGGCAGCAGUAGGGAAUAUUGGGCAAUGGGCGAAAGCCUGACCCAGCCAUGCCGCGUGAAGGAAGACGGCCUUAUGGGUUGUAAACUUCUUUACUACGCGAAUAGAGGUUAGUACGAGAUACUAAUAGGAAGGUAGUGUAGUAAAAAGCACCGGCCAACUCCGUG